rnacentral:rRNA from 1 species
CCUACGGGAGGCAGCAGUCGAGAAUCAUUCACAAUGGGGGAAACCCUGAUGGUGCGACGCCGCGUGGGGGAAUGAAGGUCUUCGGAUUGUAAACCCCUGUCAUGUGGGAGCAAAUUAAAGAGAUAGUACCACAAGAGGAAGAGACGGCUAACUCUGUGCCAGCAGCCGCGGUAAUACAGAGGUCUCAAGCGUUGUUCGGAAUCACUGGGCGUAAAGCGUGCGUAGGCUGUUUCGUAAGUCGUGUGUGAAAGGCGCGGGCUCAACCCGAGGACGGCACAUGAUACUGCGAGACUAGAGUAAGGGAGGGGGAACCGGAAGUCUCGGUGUAGCAGUGAAAUGCGUAGAUAUCGGGAGGAACACUCGUGGCGAAGGCGGGUUCCUGGACAUUAACUGACGCUGAGGCACGAAGGCCAGGGGAGCGAAAGGGAUUAGAUACCCCAGUAGUC